rnacentral:rRNA from 1 species
ACGAACGCUGGCGGCAUGCCUAACACAUGCAAGUCGAGCGAGACCUUCGGGUCUAGUGGCGCACGGGUGCGUAACGCGUGGGAACCUGCCCUUAGGUUCGGAAUAACUCCCCGAAAGGGGUGCUAAUACCGGAUAAUGUCUUCGGACCAAAGAUUUAUCGCCUUUGGAUGGGCCCGCGUUGGAUUAGCUAGUUGGUAGGGUAAAAGCCUACCAAGGCGACGAUCCAUAGCUGGUCUGAGAGGAUGAUCAGCCACACUGGGACUGAGACACGGCCCAGACUCCUACGGGAGGCAGCAGUGGGGAAUAUUGGACAAUGGGCGAAAGCCUGAUCCAGCAAUGCCGCGUGAGUUAUGAAGGCCUUAGGGUUGUAAAGCUCUUUUACCCGGGAUGAUAAUGACAGUACCGGGAGAAUAAGCUCCGGCUAACUCCGUG